rnacentral:tRNA from 1 species
GCCUCCUUAGCUCAAUUGGCAGAGCAGCUGACUCUUAAUCAGCGGGUUGUAGGUUCAAGUCCUACAGGAGGCA